GAUUUUCUUAGUGGUUAGAGCGUCUGCCUCAGAUGCGGGAGGUCGUGGGUUCGAUCCCCGGCUGAGUCA